UACGUAGGUGGCAAGCGUUAUCCGGAAUUAUUGGGCGUAAAGAGCUCGUAGGCGGUGUGUCACGUCGGCCGUGAAAACCUGCAGCUUAACUGUGGGCGUGCGGUCGAUACGGGCAUCACUGGAGUUCGGCAGGGGAGACUGGAAUUCCUGGUGUAGCGGUGAAAUGCGCAGAUAUCAGGAGGAACACCGGUGGCGAAGGCGGGUCUCUGGGCCGAUACUGACGCUGAGGAGCGAAAGCGUGGGGAGCAAACAGG
rnacentral:rRNA from 1 species